UGGGCUCGAAAUGUAGUGGACCGGGGUAGAAAUAUCCCUUCCUAGCAAUAGGCUGCUAUAUAGGUGCUGCAUGGCUGUCGUCAGCUCGUGUCGUGAGAUGUUGGGUUAAGUCCCGCAACGAGCGCAACCCUUAUUACCAGUUGCUACCAUUUAGUUGAGCACUCUGGUGAGACCGCCUCGGAUAACGGGGAGGAAGGCGGGGAUGACGUCAAGUCCUCAUGGCCUUUAUGUCCAGGGCUACACACGUGCUACAAUGGCCGAUACAAACCGUCGCAAACCCGCGAGGGGGAGCUAAUCGGAAAAAGUCGGCCUCAGUUCGGAUUACAGUCUGCAACUCGACUGUAUGAAGCUGGAAUCGCUAGUAAUCGCGGAUCAGAAUGCCGCGGUGAAUACGUUCCCG
rnacentral:rRNA from 1 species